rnacentral:rRNA from 1 species
AUUGAACGCUGGCGGCAGGCCUAACACAUGCAAGUCGAACGAGUGGCGGACGGGUGAGUAAUGUCUGGGAAACUGCCUGAUGGGGGGGGAUAACUACUGGAAACGGUAGCUAAUACCGCAUACCAUGAGAUGUGCCCAGAUGGGAUUAGCUUGUUGGUGGGGUAACGGCUCACAAAGGCGAGGCGCCCUAGCUGGGCUGAGAGGCUGACCAGCCACCCUGGAUCUGAGACACGGUCCAGACUCCGACGGGAGGCAGCAGUGGGGAAUAUUGCACAAUGGGCGAAAGCCUGAUGCAGCCAUGCCGCGUGAAUGAAGAAGGCCUUAGGGUUGUAAAGUAAUUUAAGCGGGGAGGCGUUACCCGCAGAAGAAGCACCGGCUAACUCCGUGCCAGCCGCCGCGGUAAUAC